UAUGUAGGUUAGCAAUCAAUGUUAUUUUCUGCCUGUAGGCUUUUCUUAAUAAUUAAGAAUAUUAUAUUCUUUGUUCCUAACUUUACAGAUUAUAAGCACACCACAGAGACUAACCAGUUCAGGAAGUGUUCUGAUUGGGAGUCCAUAUACCCCUGCACCAGCAAUGGUUACUCAGACACACAUAGCAGAAGCUACUGGCUGGGUCCCUGGUGAUAGAAAACGGGCUAGAAAAUUUAUAGACUCUGAUUUUUCAGAAAGUAAACGAAGCAAAAAAGGAGAUAAAAAUGGGAAAGGCUUGAGACACUUUUCAAUGAAAGUGUGUGAGAAAGUUCAACGAAAAGGUACAACAUCGUACAAUGAAGUCGCUGAUGAGCUGGUGUCAGAGUUCACCAAUUCAAAUAACCAUUUGGCUGCUGAUUCGGCUUAUGAUCAGAAGAACAUUAGGCGAAGAGUUUAUGAUGCUUUAAAUGUGCUAAUGGCAAUGAACAUAAUUUCAAAGGAAAAAAAAGAAAUCAAGUGGAUUGGCCUGCCUACCAAUUCUGCUCA
rnacentral:ncRNA from 2 species